rnacentral:rRNA from 1 species
GACGAACGCUGGCGGCGUGCUUAACACAUGCAAGUCGAGCGGUAAGGCUCCUUCGGGAGUACACGAGCGGCGAACGGGUGAGUAACACGUGAGCAAUCUGCCCUUCACUCUGGGAUAACCCCCGGAAACGGGAGCUAAUACCGGAUACGACCACUUCAGGCAUCUGAUGGUGGUGGAAAGUUCCGGCGGUGAAGGAUGAGCUCGCGGCCUAUCAGCUUGUUGGUGAGGUAAUGGCUCACCAAGGCUUCGACGGGUAGCCGGCCUGGGAGGGUGACCGGCCACACUGGGACUGGGACACGGCCCAGACGCCUACGGGAGGCAGCAGUGGGGAAUAUUGGACAAUGGGCGAAAGCCUGAUCCAGCAACGCCGCGUGAGGGAUGACGGCCUUCGGGUUGUAAACCUCUUUCAGCAGGGACGAAGCGAAAGUGACGGUACCUGCAGAAGAAGGACCGGCCAACUACGUGCCAGCCGCCGCGGUAAUAC